AUUGAACGCUUGCGGCAGGCCUAACACAUGCAAGUCGAACGCUUGGCGGACGGGUGAGUAAUGUCUGGGAAACUGCCUGAUGGAGGGGGAUAACUACUGUAAACGUUAGCUAAUACCGCAUCCCCUCCGAUUUGCCCAGAUGGGUUUAGCUAGUAGGUGGGGUAACGGCUCACCUAGGCGACCAUCCCUAGCUGGUCUGAGAGGAUGACCAGCCACACUGGAACUGAGACACGGUACAGACUCCGACGGGAGGCAUCAGUGGGGAAUAUUGCACAAUGGGCGCAAGCCUGAGGAAGCCAUGCCGCGUGUGUGAAGAAGGCCUUCGGGUUUUAAAGCACUUGCAGAGGGGAGGCGUUGCACGCAGAAGAAGCACCGGCUAACUCCGAGCCAGCAGCCGCGGUAAUUC
rnacentral:rRNA from 1 species